rnacentral:rRNA from 1 species
AAGCUCGUAGUUGAAUUUCGGGGUUCUUCCAUUGGUCAGGCUAACAAGUCUGUACUAGUGAGUAGAAUUCCUACCUUCUGGGGAACCAUCAUGUUAUUUAUUUAGCGUGGUGGGAAACCAGGACCUUUACCUUGAAAAAAUUAGAGUGUUCAAAGCAGGCUUACGUCUGAAUACAUUAGCAUGGAAUAAUAAAAUAGGACGGUGGUCCUGUUUUGUUGGUUUCUGAAUCACCGUAAUGAUUAAUAGGGAUAGUUGGG